GAUGAAGAACGCAGCGAAAUGCGAUAAGUAAUGUGAAUUGCAGAAUUCAGUGAAUCAUCGAGUCUUUGAACGCACAUUGCGCCCCCUGGUAUUCCGGGGGGCAUGCCUGUCCGAGCGUCAUUGCCGCCCUCAAGCACGGCUUGUGUGUUGGGCCCCCGCCCCCCGGCUUCGGGGGGCGGGCCCGAAAGGCAGCGGCGGCACCGCGUCCGGUCCUCGAGCGUAUGGGGCUUCGUCACCCGCUCUGUAGGCCCGGCCGGCGCCCGCCGGCGACCCCAAUCAAUCUUUCCAGGUUGACCUCGGAUCAGGUGGGGAUACCCGCUGAACUUAAGCAUAUCAAUAAGCGGAGGA
rnacentral:misc_RNA from 1 species